AGGAACCGAGACCCCCAGCAGUGAGCCAGCUGCUUCAGAGUCUCUUCAGAGCUAGCCAGAGAGUUGCAGGUACAGGAUAGAUCAGGAAGUCGGCUAGAGGGAAGUUAAGUCAAGUAUGCUGUAAUAGAUAGUAGUGGACAUGAACAUGAUGUAAUGAGUAUUUAUGACCAUGUAAUGUAAUGAAUGAUUUGAUGAUGUAUUGAGGA